CAGGAGAAGGGGCUUUGGCUUAACACUACCAGGAGGAAGAGUAGCCAGUGACUUUAGCAACAGAGACAUGAAGAGACUCUCUGAAGAGAGGCUAAUACUCCAGUGGAGUGGAAGGUCCAAGGGGAAGAUUGUAGCCAUCUCUCCACUGAUGAAUCUGCACAAUUAGAAGCUGGAGCUGCUGCGGCUGUUUCUGUAGCUGAACCACUGAAUUCUCUGUGACUGAACCUUGUUGGAGCAUCUGAGCUUAAGUAACUCAUUCACGUUGUUGCUCCCACGUCACCAAGA